rnacentral:rRNA from 1 species
GACGAGCGCUGGCGGCGUGCUUAACACAUGCAAGUCGAACGGAAAGGCCCUGCUUUUGUGGGGUGCUCGAGUGGCGAACGGGUGAGUAACACGUGAGUAACCUGCCCUUGACUUUGGGAUAACUUCAGGAAACUGGGGCUAAUACCGGAUAGGAGCUCCUGCUGCAUGGUGGGGGUUGGAAAGUUUCGGCGGUUGGGGAUGGGCUCGCGGCUUAUCAGCUUGUUGGUGGGGUAGUGGCUUACCAAGGCUUUGACGGGUAGCCGGCCUGAGAGGGUGACCGGCCACAUUGGGACUGAGAUACGGCCCAGACUCCUACGGGAGGCAGCAGUGGGGAAUAUUGCACAAUGGGCGGAAGCCUGAUGCAGCAACGCCGCGUGCGGGAUGACGGCCUUCGGGUUGUAAACCGCUUUCGCCUGUGACGAAGCGUGAGUGACGGUAAUGGGUAAAGAAGCACCGGCUAACUACGUG